rnacentral:lncRNA from 1 species
GAGACUUAUCAUGGUCCCUACUCCUAAAUAUGUUCUUGGUCAUAGGAGUAUCAAUUGGGCGUUGAUAAUCCGUCAAGACCAGUACACACAGUAUCGUCUCUAUAUGUGGAGAGUGAAAAGGUCUCAAGUUAUUGAGUGUAGUGAUACCAAGAUAUGUGUGUUGGUGCUUGCAGGAGACUCAGUACACUGAAUGCGAUCAAAUACAUGAGUUCUAGAAUGGAAGUCUUUACUCACAUGUCAAAGUAGAACUCAUAGAUUCCAAUGGUACAAAUUAAUCCUUAGACAUGGGACAUCAUAGAAGUCUUGUUGCUAUGUUGUUUGUCUUUGAGGGCACUAUGCAUUUGUGUUGUAAAAGACAUGUCCUAAAGAUGGUUAUCAGGACUCUCAAUAAAUAAAUGUACAACAAGGAAUCUUUAUUCUCAGUAAAGAGAAAGAAUGCUCCAAGGAUAUGAUUGAUCAAAUCUCUGGACACAGUAGUGGAUAAGAUUUGAAGAUUGUCUUACCAGGAUAAUCAUAUAAAGGAAUAAUUCACAUUAAGAUAUUGUUCACCCGUUUUAUGUUUGUUCCUGUGAUGGUAGGGCAAAGUUCCUCAUUGUCUUGAAAACCAUUGACUGGUCAACAAAUCAACUUCCUUUAGUGUGCGAGUGUGCCAUUGCUAGUAAUGAAAAAUCCUAGCAGACUUCUUUAAAAUAGAUAACUUGCGCCCCAAGUUACUAAUUUCUAAACAAGCGAUUGUGAAUUUGGGUGAGGAAUAUCUCCCAAGUAAGUUCUUUUCUUGCCUCAGACUGGUGAGGACUUCACAAUUUUUCACUGUACAAAACUGGUAGUUCUGGGCAGAAUAAAUGAUAAGAUAGUAAACUAUUUUAGGCAGAAUUUUACAAAACUCAAAAAGGGAAAAACCAACUCUAAAAAAGACAAAAAGAGGGCUAGACUUCCAUUUCUGCCUGGAUGAAUGCUUCUGAUCCGGGCUGGACUGGGUAUGUAUGUGCUAGAUUGGACUAUCAAC